rnacentral:lncRNA from 1 species
UUUAUGGGAUUUUGAGAAGUAUGGGAAAUUCUGGGGAGAAUUUUGGGGUCAAUUUAUGGGAUUUGGGGAGAAAUUUGGGUCAUUUUGGGGUGAAUGUAUGGAAUUUUGGAGAGAGUUGGGGGGAAUUGGGGUCAUUUUGGGAUCGUUUUGUGGGAUUUGGGGGAGAAUUGGGGAAAGUUUGGGUCAUUGGGUAUCAUUUUAUGGGAUUUUGGGGGAAAUUUGGGUCAUUGGGGAUCAUUUUAUGGGAUUUUGGGGAGAAUUGGGUGAAAUUUGGGUCAUUUGGGGUCAUUUUAUGGGAUUUUGGGGGAAAUUUGUGUCCUUUUGGGGUCAUUUUAUGGGAUUUUGGGGAGGAUUUCGGUCAUUCUGGGGCAUUUGAUGGGAUUUUGGGGGAAAUUUGUGUCCUUUUGGGGUCAUUCUAUGGGAUUUUAGGGAGAAUUGGGGGAAAUUUGGGUCAUUUGGGGUCAUUUUAUGGGAUUUUAAGGAGAAUUUUGGGGUGAUUUCGGGGGUUUUUUGGGGUUGCUGAGCCCCCCUCUGUAUUUCAGCUCCUCCUGGCUCUGCUGCUGGUUGGGGUCAAAGCGGCCCCGCCCUUCCUGGAGGAGCCGUCCAAUGGCAGCGUGGCGUUGGGGAAGGAGGCGGAGCUUCGCUGCGCCGUGCGGGGGGGCGUGGCCGUGCAGUGGGCGCGGGGGGGGCUGCUGCUGGGAGCGCUGCCAAGCCCCGCCCACCCGCGGUACCGAUUGGUCGGCGAUACGGGGAAAGGUGCGGAAGGGGCGGGGCUAAAGGGAGAGGAGAGAGGCGAUUGGGCGGGGAAGGAAGGGGCGUAGCCGACGUGGGGCGCGGCCAAUGGGUGAUGGUAGCAGGCAAAGGGGGCGUGGCUUGAGGGGGGGCAGUAGGAAG